UGAAUGAAUGAAUGUAAUAACUUAGGAUGUGUUUAUGUUGUUUGAUACCUUCCUUAUGCAAUCGUUGUAUGUUGAAUACUGUUCCUGUUUGGAACCUGUUGUAAUUGUAUUGAUUGCGAUGCCUUGAACGUACAGGGGAGACUCUGUCCGCAGUGCAGGGAAAACUCUGUCCGUUCGGCGCUGUCGGCGCCGCGACCCCGACCAAAUAGGCGGGUGGUCGCGGGCUGUGAUAGGUCCCUGGAAGGAGAGACCGGUCCCCCAAUGAGCAGUGUUGCGGCAGCCCUGAGGCAACCGGUCCCUGGCGGGUGACACCGGUCCCGAGCGCGUUUUCGCAAUGAGAGACCGGUCCUGCGUAGGGAGAGACCGGUUCCCGAACGCUGGUUUUUCGGGUUCGCAGCGAGAGACCGGUCCCUACUGGGGAGAGACCGGUCCCUCUGGGCGAAAACUGCCCAGACCGAGCUGUUGUGAUAUUGGAUUUUUGAGGGGCCUCUUGGGAUUUUGUUACAAUAGAGNGUGAUUGUCCUAGUUGAGGGGAUUUAAGGCCGAGGUGCAAGUGAGACGUCCUUCGCCUCGUGCCUGGCUCUGUGCGGUACUCCGCAGAUGAUUGACUCAAGACCGAGUCGAGCGGCUAGCUUUGUAAAGGUAGAUGACACCUUAUGAUUAAAAUUGUAAAUGACAGAAAACCUUAAAUGUCAAUUGGAUGAAAGUAGUAAUCGAUUGAAUUACUAGUUGGUUGUAUAGUUGCAUUAUUGCAUGAUCUUCAUAUUGCAUAUCGCGAGGCAAUGCAUGGUAUUGUUAGUUGCAUGAUCUUAUUAUCAUAUCUAUCUGUUUAUUGAACUAACCUGCAGCUUGCCUCCUUCGGACAUGUCGGUCGAGCUUUUUCCUUGGGUGGCCGUACCCACUGGGAACUAUGGAGUUAGUUCUCACCCCACGUUGCUUUUGGGGUAUUACAGGUUCACACAUGAGCGGCGCGGCGGCGCGAGGCGAGGGCGUAGCUCCGUAGAUAGCGCCCUACCACCGUGACCAGAGAUAGCGGUACCCAAGUCAGCCAAGCUAGGGGUUGUAGAAAAGAAAAUCAAAAGGAUCAAACUUGUAAUAAUCUUGUGAUGCUUGAUUGUAUUCGGAAGUUUAAAUGUAUUUGAAAGGAAAAGGAAAUGUAAAUAAUAUCAAGUGAAUGAAUGAAUGAAUGUAAUAACUUAGGAUGUGUUUAUGUUGUUUGAUACCUUCCUUAUGCAAUCGUUGCAUGUUGAAUACUGUUCCUGUUUGGAACCUGUUGUAAUUGUAUUGAUUGCGAUGCCUUGAACGUACAGGGGAGACUCUGUCCGCGGUACAGGGGAAUCCCCGGUCCGUUCGGCGCUGUCGGCGCCGCGACCUCGACCAAAUAGGCGGGGCUCGCGGGCUGUGACAGGAAGUGGUAUCAGAGCAUAAUGUAGAAAAUGGGAAAAUGGUUUAGGCAGACCUAGGAGACCCUAGGAUAGUAAACCAUAGGAGAAUAAGGCUCGUGAGAGACGAGGACUUAUGGGUUAUGGCGAAAGAUUAGUCGAUUGGGUCAGUGUUGAAGCCUCUAUAACGGAUAUUAGAGGUAGACUCGAGGUGUGGUUUAUUCUCAACCGACGGUGUUCAUGUUGGGUCGACACAACAUGAAACCGAGUGUUGAGAAUAGAUACCCUUGUGUGACUUUCGCCCGAUUUGAGUCGGUGUCAGUUGUUUCGCGUUUGACCUUGAGGGUCGAGAAUCGAUCGAGCUGUCGCGUCUUGGGAAGCGAUGGCACCGCGUAGGCGAUCUUUAUGUAGAUCGGCACGAGAUGGGACGAGUGUCAUUCCUACGCAAUCCGAAACGAACGGAGACUUGGGACUUCGUGAGCGAUUGUCCACUCUCGUGUGAGUGGCGGGGUGAUGAGCCGAAUCAAUGCGGCGUCAGCAGGAAGCUGCCGUAUGCCAGGAGGAGCGAAUGAGAAGACUCCAGGAAACGAUAAAUCAGCUGGGGGUUAUACCAGCUGCCGUUCGUCGAGUACGACCGGGAGUUGCGAUGGAAGUAUUUCCGUCGGGUUCGAGCAAUCCGACUUCUAGCACUUCAGAAGCGAAGGCGGGGAAGGACCGAGCUUCGGCGGCCCUCAUGACCUUUAAACGAUUUGAUCCGUCUGCCUUUGGUGGAGAGAAUACGGAUCCGUUUGUCGUGGAGUUGUGGAUCGACUUCAUGGAGACUCCCUUUGGGGAUCUGUGCACUGUAGAGUGAGAGGAUACACCUAGCUGUGCGUUGCUUGCAAACAAUCGGCGAAGGUGUGGUGGAAAGGCAUUCGACAGAAUCGAUUGCCUAGUUUUCCUCCUAUGAUUCGGGAUGAGUUUCGGGGAUCAAUAUUCCCUGUUUACUUCCCCGAUGCUGAGAAAGAAAAGCAUCAGGAAAGGUUCCCGAAGCUACGGCAGGUAGACCGUGUCGUGAGGGAAUACGAGCAGGAAUUCCCUCGUAUCGUGAGUUGUGUCCCGAACGUAGUGCGGGAUGACGAGGAAUUGGCCGAUGUGCCUUUACGGAGACCUUUGCCGGACGUGGUCGAGGUUGUGCGUAUAAGGAAGUGAAUUCUCGAAAUACGAGGAUUGGACUUCGUGUAGAAUCGAACAAGGGUCGUGUUGGUGUGCUUCGGAAAAGCCGAAGAUGUUUAAAUCACCAAAAGUGCGUUGGAAUUGGAGUCCACGAGAGCAAAUAGUGCAAAGUCUGCACUUGGCGGAGAUUGCUCUCGGGAACCGGUCCCUGGCAGGGAGAGACCGGUCCCCGUAGCUUGAAAUUGCUCAGUUUUGGGCAGUGCACAUUCUUGAGUUGUGGUUGCAAUCCCAACCUCGGAAGUGUCAUCUACUUAACUUUUCGGGAUGUGGGAUUGUAGAAGUUCUCACCAGGCACAGCGGUGUGCGCUGUGUGAUGAAAGGUGAUUCGUUGUGGAUGGCCAAACCUUAGCAUUGGCGAAAGCUUUUUCCUCUCCGACACAGCCUGCAGGUGUGUCACCUACAGCAUGGUCUGGAGAGUGAGUGGCGAGAAGGUGACCACCGAAGGGUUCGCAGCGGGCGCCAAGAGGCCGUGGAUAUGCGAACCGGGUUGUGAAACCUGCUGCUAUCGACGAUACCAUGGCAGGUAUGAGUUAAUUGAAGCAAGCAUAGGCUUCUGUAGGAUGUGAAGUUGGUGCAUGCAUGCAUAUGCCAUGUGGUCAUUUACUACCAUCGAUAUGUCAAUGUAGUAGGGACCAAAGGGACGGGUAAGCGUAGAUACCCGGGCAUGCUUGCAUUGUGGGAGCGUAUUAUCUGUUUGAGCGGGUAGAGAGCUGGAUAGCACUAGCAGAUGCUGGUGAUGAUUGUGGGACGAGAAGUGAGACUCGUGAUAAAGACAAAACGGUGAAGCGACUCUCAAGACAACGGGUAGUUGAUUGUGAGAAUUGCGCCGUGACCUUGAGGAUACCCAGGUAGUCCGAGUAUUCGGAUGUAGAUCCGGUAGGUUGAACAGUGGAAAGUAGAAUCACUGUCGAGAGAAUAGCCGGUUAGUUGCCAAGUACGGGCACAUAGGCCUAGUAGUACCUCAGUUUGAGGUUGGAACUUGCGCUUGUUUGGUCGGUGUGUAUAGGCAAGAUUGCCUAUUACUAGACGUAGUGUGGAACGUUAUAGAGACGU
rnacentral:lncRNA from 1 species